rnacentral:rRNA from 1 species
AAACCAACAGGGAUUGCCCUAGUAACGGCGAGUGAAGCGGCAACAGCUCAAAUUUGAAAUCUGGCCCUCGGGUCCGAGUUGUAAUUUGUAGAGGAUGCUUUUGGCGCGGUGCCUUCCGAGUUCUCUGGAACGAGACGCCUUAGAGGGUGAGAGCCCCGUACGGUUGGACACCAAGCCUCUGUAAAGCUCCUUCGACGAGUCGAGUAGUUUGGGAAUGCUGCUCUAAAUGGGAGGUAAAUUUCUUCUAAAGCUAAAUAUUGGCCAGAGACCGAUAGCGCACAAGUAGAGUGAUCGAAAGAUGAAAAGCACUUUGAAAAGAGGGUUAAAUAGCACGUGAAAUUGUUGAAAGGGAAGCGUUUGCGACCAGACCUUUUCCUAGCGGAUCAUCCGGUGUUCUCACCGGUGCACUUCGCUAGGUUUAGGCCAGCAUCGGUUUCUGUAGGGGGAUAAAAGCUCUGGGAACGUAGCUCCUCCGGGAGUGUUAUAGCCCUCUGCAUAAUACCCUUACGGGGACCGAGGACCGCGCUUUUAGCAAGGAUGCUGGCGUAAUGGUCGUCAACGAC